rnacentral:lncRNA from 1 species
GUUAUAUUACUCGACCCACUUCUAGUACGAGGUGGGUGAGAAGGUUGGAGUCUGCGUUACUCUAUAUUGAGUGAGGAGAGAGAGAGUUACAGCUACAGCUCAAGGAUGUAAAAUUAAAAACUGCGUUUUUUUUGCGGAAAAAGAUGUUUGGGUUAAAAUUGCAUAUAAAAAAAUUCGCACCAAUCCAAAACGAUUUUUUUUUCUCUCGCAGGAGCAGUCAAACACCUUACACCAUGGUAAAUGGAAGCAUAUUCUUGCUAGUAUCUCAAGGCUUGAUUUAUCUGGUGGUCGAGGAAUUCAACUCUCUUGCGAAUAGCUCUCAAUUCAUAUUUUAAGCAGUUGAUGAUGUGAACGGUAGAAAAUGAUAUAAUUGGAAUAUUAUUUUGCUUUAAUGCGGUGAUUCAACGCUUCCUCUUACUCAUUUUUUAACAUGACACUUGUUUUUUCCGCCUAUAAACCUUUGUACUUGUUCAGCAAAUUGAUGCUUCUGGCUCCUGUGCGCGUGGUCCACAAUCCAGAAACAAUGGAGAAAUCCUAUAUUUUCUGCCCGUGGCAGCAUCGCAUUAACAUUGCGUUAGUUGUGUUUAUGGCCAUCGGCGAAUUAUUCCUCAUGUAUUUUCACUUUCAGAAUGUUCAUAAUUACUACCAAACCAAAGAUGAAGAUGAUCCUUACUUUGAUCCUGGCCUAGCAGAUGAUAUGUUCAUCUUUGACUUUUUCAUCAUCUUCACGAUAAUUAUAGCCAUCUUCGGUGUUGUGAAGUUCAAGAGCAACUUUCAAAAACUUCUGAGUCUCCAUGAAAUCUUAAUCCACGUUGAUCACCAGCUUGAAAGGCCUUCCAAGCACGGGACAUUCAAGUACGUUGCGAUUUUCCUCAUCGCCAUUAAUUUUUUCCUCAUGUCGGCGGACUAUUUGGUUUUUUGGAGGGUCUACUCCGAGGACUGGUCAUUUUGGUCGCAUUACAUCAGUCGAUUGAUGUGCAUGAUGAUCUUGGUCCAGUACGGAGAUCUGGUCAGUAAUAUCAAAGACCGUUUUCGCUGCGUCAAUGCAGAGCUACAGUUUGAGCUGGCCAAUUACUUUCGGCAAGAUAUUCUGUGGACUAUCACCAGACACGAGUAUGAUAAGCUGCCAGGUUAGUAGGAUAUAUGAUGAAAUUAAAACACACACGAGUGCCUUCAAACAGCGGUAAACGCAACCAUAUGUAUGCCCGGGGUUUUCUUCCCGGUUAGGUUGCCUGCAAGUCAAUAUCCCUCGUCAUACCUACUGGCUACCUAACCGCGAAAACCUUUUCUCUGAAGCUCCACGGCCUCUCGCGGCUGGGUGAGAGGUCCUCACGGUUAGGCUGGGUCCUAACUGCAAGGUGUCACGCCCUAGCGGUUAGCAUAGCAUCCUUCCUCGCGGUUAUUAUGGGACCUAAGUUUAGCCACCACCCUCGCUAAGCAUUCACCAUGGUCAUUCCCUAACCGCAAGGGCUAACCUCAAUGAAGAGGUCCAAAAUAUGGGGUGAGGGGUCUGCGAGCUGACAGCAAAGAAAAAUUCACACUAGGGUUUUGAAACGUCUCAAAAUUUCUAUUGCAUUUUAUUGUCAAUCCCUGCUUAUUUUGUUGUUUUGCAAACUCAGUUAGGUUCUAAUGCUUCUCUUGAAAUAAAGUCACAUUUUCAGAUUUUUAUUCAGAUUUUGAUGGAGUAGAAUUAAAGAAGACCGCCUCUUACUAAAUAAUUUCUGGUUAGGUAUGGUCAUAAAUCUAAUUCCAGGGGAGGAAUGCAAAUUUGGGUAACUUCAGCUCCCGUUGGCAACAAGAUGGAACUGCUGAUUGAUAAUUGAGGGGCUUGGAAGACAAGGCGCAUAAGCGCAGUUUUUGCUAUUUCGAGGAAUACGUGUUUGAAAUUUCAAAAUUACAUGGAUCCUUAGGGCGGAAAGAAAGUUCAAACUGACUUUUUGAUGCUUAAACAUUGGAAUUUGGGAGUGAAUUUUUCACAGAAUAUGCAUUAAGACUAAUUUUACUUGAAAUCAUUAAUAUCUCAAUUUUUCAAAAACUGUACUUAUGCGCCUUGUUCUCUAAGACCCUCAAUUCGUCUGUGUUGAUGGAAAAAACGCCAUACCAGUUUUCUUUAAAAAAGCUUUUUGGACCCGUAUGAAGCCUAAUAUUUGUCUUACUUCUACCAUGAGG